UGGGGAAUAUUGGACAAUGGGCGAAAGCCUGAUCCAGCCAUGCCGCGUGUGUGAAGAAGGUCUUCGGAUUGUAAAGCACUUUAAGUUGGGAGGAAGGGCAGUAAAUUAAUACUUUGCUGUUUUGACGUUACCGACAGAAUAAGCACCGGCUAACUCUGUGCCAGCAGCCGCGGUAAUACAGAGGGUGCAAGCGUUAAUCGGAAUUACUGGGCGUAAAGCGCGCGUAGGUGGUUCGUUAAGUUGGAUGUGAAAUCCCCGGGCUCAACCUGGGAACUGCAUUCAAAACUGACGAGCUAGAGUAUGGUAGAGGGUGGUGGAAUUUCCUGUGUAGCGGUGAAAUGCGUAGAUAUAGGAAGGAACACCAGUGGCGAAGGCGACCACCUGGACUGAUACUGACACUGAGGUGCGAAAAGCG
rnacentral:rRNA from 1 species